AUGCUCGCUUCGGAAGCACACAUACUAAAACUGGAACCAUACAGAGAAGACUAGCAUGACCCCUGCACAAGGGUGACAGGCAAAUUCGUGAAGUGUUCCAUAUUUUA
ensembl:snRNA U6 U6 spliceosomal RNA